GGCAUGAGAACACAGGCAGUUCUUUUCCUUAUCAGGGAAUGUGUGUCACUUCUAUGCAUCUCUUCAUAGAGAUGACAGUCUUCAAAGAGUAAAAUAUUUACUUGUUUAUUAUUAUUGAGGAUUUCCUCAAUUAUUAUCAAGGAGUCAUAAGAAAAAUAUACAAAGAAGGGGUUGUCAUGAGAAAAACUCCAAUGAGAGUUCCUGCAAAUCUGACAAAAGAAAAUAUUUGACAGUGAAAGUGAUUAAUGGAGGUUGAAACAGAGGCUGGUUAAAUACAUUUCUUCUCAUUUCUCAAGAGAAUUAGUAAUGAGGCCAGUGACUUUCUCCAGUUCCUCAAAUAGUGAAAUUUUACCCAGUCAAUCAUUGACUUCUCUCCUAGUCAAAACAGAAUAGAAUGCAGCUAUUCAAAUUCUUGUUACAAGUGCUCCAUUAGGUCUUACAAGGCAAUCCAGAAAAGGAUAAUAUACCCCUGCCAUGCAUGUAACAGCAGAGUCAUGAGAGCAGAACUAAUGGGUGAACAAACGACCUCCUUUCACACAUUUGGAAAAUCUGCUUUAUGACACUUAGUGAAGUUUGAUACCACAUGAAGGAUACAGAGAUGAUACCUCUGCAUCCAUCUGAAUCCAUAUCAAUGUAUUAUGGGAAAAAAACAGUAGUCAGAAUGGGCCUGAAAACAUGGGCCUGAUAAGAAGGAAGUCAGAGAAAUGAGAACAGUGUAAACAAAAAAGCUAUGGUGGAUAAGGCAGGAAUUUAGAAGUGAGCUUUGCCUUCAACUCCUGAUUCUGUCACUCAGCAUCUGUGCAAGACUGAGCAAGUCACCUGGCCACUUUGAGCCUACUUUGUAUAAGCUGCAAAGCAGACAAUAACGCUAUCUCAAUAGGGUUACCUGAGGGUUAAAUGAGAUAACUUGCAUGAUGCUCUGAUUUGGAGAUGACAUAUACCACGCUCAGCUCCUCCUCAUAACACUCAUGUCAGGCAUAGCUUCUUCCCCCAUCUCUGACCCCUUCUACACUAAACUCCUGUCUUCAUGACUCAGUCUAGAGCUUCCUACUGUCCCUCAGAUCACUCUCUCAAGUCAUCCUACCUUGGGAUAUUUGCAUUCUCUUCUGCCUCGGAUCCUCCUACCCAGAUCUUUAGGUUUCUUGCUCCCUCACUUCAAGUAAGCUUCAAUUUAAACUUGAUCUCUUUAGAGGCAACUUGCCUGAUGCUUUGCUGAAAACACCUCACUGAUUACUGUCUGAAAUUGCAUCCUGUAUUAAUCUGUUUUCUCAUUGUCCUCUCUCCAUAGAAUGUGGGUAUUUGUCGAUCUUGUUCAUCACUGUAUCCCCAAACCCUUAGAACAGUGUCUGAUGUAUCUUGGGUACUGGGUAAAUAUUUACUGAAUGUUAUUAUUAGUAAUGAAUGAAUAAAAUGAAUAAAAGCAUUUUGAAAAAAGCACUAUAAAAUUUGCCAAGCACUUGCUAAGUCCUAGGUGGAGAGAGAUUCUAAACCAGUAUGAAAAAACAGUUUGCCCUAGAUGGGUAAAGAAAACAAAAGUGGAAGAAAUCUUCAUAUGCUGUUUCUGUUUUGUUUUCUGAUUGGAAGUUAAUCUUCUAGAGUGUAACUACAGGAGGAGUACAGAAAAGCCAUAAAACAGGCAGAGGAGCCUCUGAGAGCUUCAGCAUGGAACGGGUGAGAAGGCCCUGGAGGAGGCCCCACAAGCUGGUGAUCAAGCUGUCCACAGCACUGCUGGAGGUCCUCAUGACAGAUCCCACUGAAGCCACACGUGCCACAUCUCUGCUGACUGCCUGGUGAUGGCACAUCCGUGGGUGACAGGAUGGGAUGUGAGCCUUUCACGCCUUCUGUUUUCCUCAUGCCUCCAGCUGGGCUCUUUGGGAGGGGGUGUGUGUGUGUGUGUGUGUGUUUCUUUUCCUUGGCUCACAAGUCACAUCAGUCCGCUCUUGGUACUUGGCAACCCAGCACGCUUCCUCCCACUAACGACAAGCCCGUCUGCAAAACAGAACAACAUCUUUGAGAUGGGGUGUUUAUCUGGGCAGCACACAGCCUCUGCAGCCCACAGGGGCCCCUCCUUCAAAGGCAUUGCUGAAUGGGACUCACCUGAUGAAAGCCCGAACUGUGUAUGCUUGACUUGAUUUACGGGCAACAGCCAGCUCAUUAGGCGCACUGGCCUGAGGAAGCCAGUCGGCUGUGGGGACAAAUGUUUGUGCAGCUCUGUGGUGCCCACAGGGAUGUUUGCUUGGGGGCUGGAGCACAAAGGGGGCAGUGAUAAGGGGCCCUGGAAUCCAUGCCUGGCUCAGGGAGCGCAAACUGCCCAGGAGAUUGAUAUCUAGGGUGCAAAGGCUAAAAAAAUUAGAUUAAUUUAGCUCAGCUGUACUUGCUGAAGGAUUGGGUUGCAGCUGGUGCUGAAACAUUAGUGAUCAACCCUCAGAGAUCAGGGGUCAAGUCUCAAGUUGGAAGGAAGGGGGUAAGAUGGAUUGCCUCUCAGUAUGCCUGCUCCCCAGGAAAAGGAUAGCCUACAAAGGCAGCCCGGCAUUACAGAUAGUCCUGUGGAACACCACUGAGAAAGUAAUAUAUCAGAGAAGGCAAUGGUACCCCACUGCAGUACUCUUGCCUGGAAACUCCCAUGGAUGGAGGAACCUGGUAGGCUGCAGUCCAUGGGGUCGCUAAGGAUUGGACACGGCUGAAGUGACUUAGCAGCAGUAGCAGCAGAAUCCCAAAAUCCCACUGGACCAAAAUAAUAUUAAAGAUAGCCAAGGACAACAUCUCUGAAUGGGAGGCAAGAAUCCUCAGAAAGGACUAUAGUGGGAGAGAUGAGAACUUCCCCUUUAAGUGGAACACACAUCAACAGGAACUCCAGGUAUGGCUGAUCUCUAUCAACUUGCCAAGGCCAAGUCCAUGCUACUCCAAGGGCUGGACCUGAGAAACCAGUGAUUCCUGUAAGCCUGAGGCCAGCUGAGGAGCUCUGCUUUCAACACAGAUGUAUGCAUGUUCUCAUUUUGUUAUUGUCUUUGUUAUUUCCUUCCCCCAUUAAAGAUGAAAGG
ensembl:lncRNA